CGCGUCCUCGCUCGCGUCCCCGCUCCCUCCUCCCCUCUGCUUCUCCCUCCCCUCCACUCCCCCAUUGGCUUCUACCCCUCCCCCUUCUUCCUCCGCCUCUCCCACCAUUGGUUCCCUCCCCUACUCCAUUCCUUCUCACCUUUUCCCUUUUACCCAUUGGCGUGAGUAUUUUUCCUCAGCUUCCCUCUUUCUCCGUAUUCUGCUCCUCCUCAGUCCCAUCCUCCACGCUUUGGAAGCUACUGCCUUACUGCCCGGAGCGCCGUCGUCCCCGAACCUCCCCUGCUUCUCCCUUUCCUUCUGUUCCGGUUUCUGGUCGUAACUCAAGAGCAAACCACCGUACUGCAAAGGAACCAGAUAUUGUGCUCGCGGUUCCAAACCGGGCAUGGGCACCGAAUGCUUCUCGAUAAAUCCCCUUAUGGUCUCUGAGCAUUAAAGAAAGCAAGGGAGGAAAACAUGCGCCCAAGCUCGUUCGCAGGAACAUGUUCGCGUGUCUGCGCCUGUGUGCGCAGCCAGUUUUCUGGCUGAGGAUCGCUCGCCAACUACAGACAUCACCCGCCCAGGACCCGGUGCCACACUCACCCAGAAGACGAAACUCCACAGGAGCGAGAAGAGGAGUCCAUUUCUCCGUCGGCUCGGCACGGCACGGG
rnacentral:lncRNA from 1 species